UGGGGAGUAUUGGACAAUGGGGAGGACCCUGAUCCAGCGACGCCGCGUGAGUGAAGAAGUAUCUCGGUAUGUAAACUUCUAUCAGCAGGGAAGAAAAUGACGGUACCUGACUAAGAAGCCCGCUAACUACGUGCCAGCCAGCCGCGGCUGAAUAACGUAGGUGGCCAAGCGGUUAGAUUCCGGCAAUUGAAUUUGGGCUGGUAAAAGAGCGCGCAGGUGGUUAAUUAAGUCUGAUGUGAAAGCCCACGGCUUAACCGUGGAGGGUCAUUGGAAACUGGUUGACUUGAGUGCAGAAGAGGGAAGUGGAAUUCCAUGUGUAGCGGUGAAAUGCGUAGAUAUUAGGAGGAACACCAGUGGCGAAGGCGGCUUACUGGACAGUAACUGACGUUGAGGCUCGAAAGCGUGGGGAGCAAACAGGAUUAGAUACC
rnacentral:rRNA from 1 species